GUCUGUACAAUCUCUCUUUUUCUUUUAUGUAAAUCCAAAGUAAUUGAUUAACGACAAGGAUCCAGUGGGAUUUUUCCUUUCCUUUUAUUAUUGCCUCCUCUGAAGUCUUACCUUCCAUCAUGGCUUCACUACAAUCAUGGUUUACUGCCUGCCUGGUCUUGUUCAUAAAGUAAGAUGCCAAUCACAAAUUGAUCCUUCUUCAUCUUUUCUUUCUACUUAAACAGACUUGAUUCACAUCUUUCAUCAUCAACAAACACAAAAUUAAGAUCAUAUAUUCCAUUUGGUUUCUGUUAUUGCCAUAAAAAUUGUAAAGGCUGGGGCUAUAUAUAAAGAUCUGGAAAAGCUCAAGGGUAAGUUGGAGAUGAUCGCUGCUGUAACAUCUGAUGCUGAAAAGAAGCAGGUGAAAGACAAAGUCGUGCUGCUCUGGUUGAGAAGGCUCCAAGACGUUGCAUACGACGUUGACGACCUUUUGGAUGAAAUUUCUUGCGUGGAAACAUGGAGAAGUUUAUGUUACACAGGUUGUCAGAAACACUUCAUAUGAACAAUAGAAGAACCAGACUCCAGAUACUCGUCUUUGGUAAUCCACAUCUGUUCAAAAGAGCUAAGUGAAGCCAAGAUAGAGCCUCCGAUCCAUACGCUGUACUUUCUAUCAGGAGGAGCAACCACUCUCACUCUAACUGCAGAUGGUGAUAAGGUACAUAGUUCUUUCGCCAAUCGUUCAGCCAACCCAGAUUCCAUCCCUAUCUUGCUAGGAUCAAACAUGACUUCGGGACACCGAAAUCUUCCUGCUCCUACUGUUAUGAUCUGCCCGUCUGGUAACUCGUACAUCUGUUCUAGUUCUGAGUUUUGCUUUGAUUCUUCCAGUUCGUUGUCGUAGUCGAGUGCAACAUAGGUUAGUCGCUGCUUUAUGUCGCGAACAAUCUCCUUCUCUGCUGCUGUGGUG